UCGCGAAAACUUUGCAAUACACGAAAGUGUGACAGGGCUAUCCCGAGUGCCAUCCGCUGAGGAAGGCUUUUACCCAGUAUAGAUCGCUGGGGGAAUAAGGAGAGGGCAAGUCUGGUGUCAGCCGCCGCGGUAAUACCAGCUCUCCGAGUGGUGUGGAUGUUUAUUGGGCCUAAAGCAUCCGUAGCUGGCUAAGUUAGUCCCUUGUUAAAUCCACCGAAUUAAUCGUUGGAUUGCGGGGGAUACUGCUUGGCUAGGGGACGAGAGAGGCAGACGGUAUUUCCGGGGUAGGGGUGAAAUCCUAUAAUCCCGGGAAGACCACCAGUGGCGAAGGCUGUCUGCUAGAACGCGCCCGACGGUGAGGGAUGAAAGCUGGGGGAGCGAACC
rnacentral:rRNA from 1 species